CUUACUUUUGUACGAUUACUGUGUAUCAAAACCCUACUCUCUCAAUCAAGAAAGUGAAGUAUACUCCCAACACAAACAACAUUAUAUUAUAUUAUCACUGUCUAUAACCAGCAGCAUCAACAACAAGAACAAACCCUCAAAUGAUCAUCAAAGUUCAAACAAACCCUAUCUUCUUCUUCUUCAUCUUCUUCCUGUAGAGAGCUGGUUUCAUAUUUUCUUUUCUUGUGAGAAAAGAAGAGAAAAUGAGGGAAACAGAAAGAAAAUAAACCCACAAGUUUAAGUUUUGUUUAUUAAAAUGAAAAAAUGAGAUGUUUUUCUUGAAAGAAUUUGAAGAGUUUAUUUUGUUUUUGCCAGAUUUGUAGAGAGAGAUCUUAAUUCAAUCGCUUUCUUUCUUCUUCUUCUCUGACUCUCAUGGAGAUAGCGACAUUUCAUCUUCUUCUUCCUCUGCUCUUUUCUUCUUUUAUUUAUUAUUUUUCUCUUCCGUGAUUUCCUCACUGAUAUAUUAAUUUCCAGUUCUCUUUAUGGCUAAUACUAUUAAUUUCAUUUCUACAUUCUUUUUCCUUUUUUGCUUUUUAAACUGUGUGCAACUCGUCAUUAUCGUCCUUCACUCACUCAGAUUAAUGCGUUUCAGAUCAAGACUCAGUUCUAGCUCUUUGAGAUCUAUGUUACUUUAGCAGUUGGGUUACCUUCAAGUCACUUUCAUUUUAUUCCAGGACAUGGGAAAACCUUGUCUACUUUAGGGUUAGGGUUCAUGCAGAGCUUUCAAAUUUAAUAUUUCAAUUCUUGAAGCAGCACCGUUUUUGCAUUUAGCUUGUUAUACUUCUAAAUUUUCACAUGAUAUUUAAGGUUAAAUUAAGGAUCUUACUUUUAACCAGACUAAGAACUUUUCCUUGAUUAAGGGUAGGAUUAAUUGUUAGUGUUCUUGGCUGCUGUUUUCUUGCUUUUCUGAUAUGUUGUUUUCCUUCUCUUUUUUAUGUCCCAUUUUGAACUCUUUUUAAAGUGAUUGGUUAAUUACCAUUGUUUUAAUGAAAAUCAGAAAUGAAUAUGCCUGGUCUUUUGUGACAUUUACAUGCAAUACCAAAACUUAAUUUAAUUUUGCCUUGACAAGAAAAAGUUAAUGCUUGGUAGUUGAUUUACAUUGGUACUUAAUUAAUUGAGGAGAAGAUCCUGGAUCGUGUAGAAUCAUUAGAUUGAGUAGUGAAAAUGCAUCAUCAAACACCAUGGCCGUUGUAACCGGCCUCGAAAAAUCUCUUUAGCUAGGUAUCUCUGAUGGUGAUUAUAGUUACUGUGCUGUUAAGUUAUCAACAAUGUCUAGUAGGAUAUUAUAUCAUGGGCAAUUGUUUAAGAGAGCUCUCUUCAGUCCACUCAUGGGCGGGCGAAGGGUUUGAACUAUCUGCCGACUCAUUCAUUCAAACACAGUAGAAUCAGAGCACAAGUAGCUGCUGUUGUGAAUGUGUGAAUGAUGCGGGAGAUAAAUUUCAUACUCCUCUUCUCUGUGCUUGGACUGAAGGGAGCUCCCUUUAACUGUUUCAUAUUCAUACAAUUAAAUUUUCAAUCAGUCCAUUUCAAUUAAUACAUGUGCUUUCAUCUUAAUACAUUUACGAUUUGAUAAUUUGCUCAAUUGUCCAAAUCUUUGAUCAAUGGCGGGACUCUUGGUAGAAAUUAACAACUUGUUGUGAUCAUGCAUGUGAAUUACCAUAUUGCACGAAAAUGAUGCAACUGAAAUGCUGAUAUAGAAAAAAGCAAAAUGAUAUUUGUACAAGAACAAAAUUAUGAAUAUAAAGUUUUGGAGUUUCGAAAGCGUUUUCAAACACAAAUCUCCGCCGAAGUAUUUAUGAUAGCUUAUGCGCAUCGAAAGUCAUGAAUUGCAUUAAUUAAGUCAUGAAUAUGAGUGUUUUAAGGUUUAGAAUCCCUUCAUAGUCCAUCGGUCUGAAAGGGUUUAUAACCACAUUUAUGAUACAAUAGCUAUGUUAAUAGAAAUUGUAUAUUUAGCUGAAAUUUGGCAUGGAACAAUGAUAUUAUUUUGUCCUUUUUACUCGUUUAAAUUCAUACAUGAUCUCAGCACUUGUUGUCCUUUCGUAGCAUUGUAUAACAUGACCAGUCUAUAUGUUUUGUAUGAUUACCGACACCAUACAUGACUAGUCUUUGUCUUAAAGUAUGGAUUGUACUAUAGAGUUACUGCAAGUUGAUAAACAGUAGCAAAAUACCUACCUACGCAAGUAACCUUGCAGUAGGAUUAGACUGGACAUUUAUAACAUGAUUUGAACUAUCAAGCGAGACUAUUUUUACCCUGCAUGCUUGCUUGUAACAAAUGAAGAACUAGGCAACCCUAGUUUCUGAAUAGGCUAAAUGAUUUAUAUAAUAGUUUUGACAUAUAUAUUUUUAUGACAAUUUAAGAGCCUGAUGUUAGUUGUUAUCGAUGAAUAAUUAUACAACGCAACGGUUGCGCCACGUCAUUUGUGCUACAAACCAAUGAGGCGUUAGCCAUGUGCAAAUGUUUAAUGAUAAAAAAAAUAAGUAAUAAAUAAAGAUUCCUUAUUGCAAAUGAUUAUUGGCUUGUUGUAAAAAAGACGUGGCACAUCCGUUGUGUGAGAUAAAUACUCGUUAUCGAGUGAUGCCGUGCAUAGCUGGUUUGUAUUCGAGUUUCAAUUAUGAGGGGAUUAAUGUUAAUUGAGAAAUUCUUUUAUGUAGUCUUUAUUCACUAUGUUAUUAGAAGUAGUUGAUUAAAAAAAAUGUUAAUAGAAGUGGAGUAUUACAUCUUUAAAUUAUACUUCCCGUCAUUAUUACA